rnacentral:misc_RNA from 1 species
GAUGAAGAACGUAGCGAAAUGCGAUAAGUAAUGUGAAUUGCAGAAUUCAGUGAAUCAUCGAAUCUUUGAACGCACAUUGCGCCCGGUAGUAAUCUGCCGGGCAUGCCUGUCCGAGCGUCAUUUCAACCCUCGAACCACUAUUCGCGUAGCUGGAUCGGUGUUGGGGCACUACGGUGGAAUACCCGUAGGCCCCGAAAUGAAGUGGCGGUCCCGCCGCGGCGCCCCCAUGCGUAGUAACAUCUCGUCUCGCAUCGGGUCCCGGCGGAGGCCUGCCGUCAAGCCUAUUUUCUAAUUACAGAUGGUUUGACCUCGUAUCAGGUAGGGUUACCCGCUGAACUUAAGCAUAUCAAUAAGCGGAGGA